GUAGGUGGCAAGCGUUGUCCGAAAUUAUUGGGCGUAAAGCGCGCGCAGGCGGUUCUUUAAGUCUGAUGUGAAAGCCCACGGCUCAACCGUGGAGGGUCAUUGGAAACUGGAGAACUUGAGUACAGAAGAGGAAAGCGGAAUUCCACGUGUAGCGGUGAAAUGCGUAGAGAUGUGGAGGAACACCAGUGGCGAAGGCGGCUUUCUGGUCUGUAACUGACGCUGAGGCGCGAAAGCGUGGGGAGCAAACAGGAUUAGAUACCCUGGUAGUCCACGCCGUAAACGAUGAGUGCUAAGUGUUAGGGGGGUUUCCGCCCCCCUUAGUGCUGCAGCUAACGCAUUAAGCACUCCGCCUGGGAGUACGGCCGCAAGGCUG
rnacentral:rRNA from 1 species